rnacentral:rRNA from 1 species
AUUGAACGCUGGCGGCAGGCCUAACACAUGCAAGUCGAACGGUAACAGAAAGCAGCUUGCUGCUUUGCUGACGAGUGGCGGACGGGUGAGUAAUGUCUGGGAAACUGCCUGAUGGAGGGGGAUAACAACUGGAAACGGUAGCUAAUACCGCAUAACGUCGCAAGACCAAAGAGGGGGACCUUCGGGCCUCUUGCCAUCGGAUGUGCCCAGAUGGGAUUAGCUAGUAGGUGGGGUAACGGCUCACCUAGGCGACGAUCCCUAGCUGGUCUGAGAGGAUGACCAGCCACACUGGAACUGAGACACGGUCCAGACUCCUACGGGAGGCAGCAGUGGGGAAUAUUGCACAAUGGGCGCAAGCCUGAUGCAGCCAUGCCGCGUGUAUGAAGAAGGCCUUCGGGUUGUAAAGUACUUUCAGCGGGGAGGAAGGGAGUAAAGUUAAUACCUUUGCUCAUUGACGUUACCCGCAGAAGAAGCACCGGCUAACUCCGUG